rnacentral:rRNA from 1 species
AGUGAACGCUGGCGGCAGGCCUAACACAUGCAAGUCGAACGGACGCACCGUAAGAGCUUGCUCUUACGGGUGGCGAGUGGCGGACGGGUGCGGAAUACAUCGGAUACCACUUUUACGCGGGGGAUAACGUCGAGAGUGCUACGCUAGUACCGCAUACGUCCUACUGAUGAAAGCAGGGGUCCUUCUGACUUUUCGCGAUUGAAACAGCCGAUGAAGGAUUAGCUCGUUGGCGGGGUAAAGGCCCAGACAGGCCACGAUCCGUAGCAGGUCCGACAGGCUGAGCAGCGACACUGGAACGGAGAGACGGCCCAGACUCCUACGGGAGGCACCAGUGGGGAACUUUGACCAAUGGGCGCAAGCCUGAACCAGCCAUACCGCGUGAAUGAAGAAGGCAUUCGGGUUGUAAAACUCAUUUAUGGGGAAAGAAAAGCAGCAUGUUUAUACCCCGCCGUUCUGACGGGAACCAAGGAAAAAGCACCGGCUAACUUCGUU